ACACCUCAACUCCCAUGGCUCGCCAUGGUGAGCUUGGACUUUGGGGGUUUUGCUGGCCUACGGUCGGCUCCUCUCAAAUGAAUUAGCCUGCCAGUGUUUGGUGGCAUCACAGGUGUGAUAACUAUCUACACUUGUGGUUUUCUGCCAGGUAACCUCCAGCAAUGGGGGUUCACUGGGGCUCAUAGACGUCUCUCCCUCAGCGAGGACAACUCUUUAAA
rnacentral:misc_RNA from 1 species